rnacentral:rRNA from 1 species
UACGGGGGGUGCGGGCGUUGUCCGGAAUCACUGGGCGUAAAGGGCGCGUAGGUGGCCUGAUAAGGGUGUGGUGAAAGUCCGGGGCUCAACCCCGGAUCGGCCGUGCCGACUGUUAGGCUAGAGUACUGUAGGGGCAGGCGGAAUUCCGGGUGUAGCAGUGAAAUGCGUAGAUAUCGUAAGGAAGGCCGGUGGCGAAAGCGAGCCUCUGGACAGUUACUGACGCUGAUGCACGAAGGCCAGGGGAGCAAACGGG